rnacentral:snoRNA from 1 species
GCCGGUGAUGAACAGUUUUUUGGUUGACAGAGGUGCAAAAAAUGUAAUAUUUGCAUUGGUGUUGAAACUUUUUUGAACUAGGACGGUCUGAGGC